GCUUACAGCUUUAACACCCUGAAUAUACCAGCUCAUCAGGUCUUAGAAGCUAAGCAGGGUCAGGCCAGCUUAGUACUUGGAUGGGAGACCGCUUGGGAAUUACAGGUGCUGUAACAU
rnacentral:rRNA from 1 species